rnacentral:rRNA from 1 species
UACGGAGGGUGCGAGCGUUGUCCGGAAUCAUUGGGCGUAAAGGGCGCGUAGGCGGCCCGGAAAGUCGGAUGUGAAAUCCCGGGGCUCAACCCCGGGCCUGCAUCCGAUACUCCCGGGCUGGAGGCAGGUAGGGGAGAUCGGAAUUCCUGGUGUAGCGGUGAAAUGCGCAGAUAUCAGGAGGAACACCGGUGGCGAAGGCGGAUCUCUGGGCCUUGCCUGACGCUGAGGCGCGAAAGCGCGGGGAUCAAACAGG